rnacentral:rRNA from 1 species
AACGAACGCUGGCGGCGUGCUUAACACAUGCAAGUCGAACGCGAAAGCAGUCUUCGGACUGCGAGUAGAGUGGCGCACGGGUGAGUAACGCGUAAAUAAUCUACCCUGGUGUCUGGAAUAAUUAGCCGAAAGGCUGACUAAUACGGGAUACAUGUUUAUCUGAUGGGAUAAACAGGAAAGGUGGCCUCUAUUUAUAAGCUAUCGCACUGGGAUGAGUUUGCGUACCAUUAGCUAGUUGGUGGGGUAAGGGCCCACCAAGGCGACGAUGGUUAGCGGGUCUGAGAGGAUGAUCCGCCACACUGGCACUGGAACACGGGCCAGACUCCUACGGGAGGCAGCAGUGAGGAAUAUUGCGCAAUGGGGGCAACCCUGACGCAGCGACGCCGCGUGAGUGAGGAAGGCCUUCGGGUCGUAAAGCUCUGUCAGCA